rnacentral:rRNA from 1 species
UAAUGCCGGAUGCUCCGACUCCUCGCAUGGGGUGUCGGGAAAGAUUUCAUCGGUAUGGGAUGGGGUCGCGUCCUAUCAGGUAGUCGGCGGGGUAACGGCCCACCGAGCCUACGACGGGUAGCCGGCCUGAGAGGGCGACCGGCCACAUUGGGACUGAGAUACGGCCCAGACUCCUACGGGAGGCAGCAGUGGGGAAUAUUGCACAAUGGGCGCAAGCCUGAUGCAGCGACGCCGCGUGCGGGAUGACGGCCUUCGGGUUGUAAACCGCUUUUGAUCGGGAGCAAGCCUUCGGGUGAGUGUACCUUUCGAAUAAGCACCGGCUAACUACGUGCCAGCAGCCGCGGUAAUACGUAGGGUGCAAGCGUUAUCCGGAAUUAUUGGGCGUAAAGGGCUCGUAGGCGGUUCGUCGCGUCCGGUGUGAAAGUCCAUCGCUUAACGGUGGAUCUGCGCCGGGUACGGGCGGGCUGGAGUGCGGUAGGGGAGACUGGAAUUCCCGGUGUAACGGUGGAAUGUGUAGAUAUCGAGAGAA